UACAAUGUUUUGACUUUUCGUCUUAUUUAAAAUUUUUUUACGAUUAAUAUUUUUAUUCUUGCUGGAUGAUAAAACAUAAAUAGUACUUUAUGCGUGACUAAUUUUUUUAAAUUUUUGUACAAAUUUUUUAAAUAAGAUAAAUGGUCAAACGUUCGGUAUGGAAAAAC
rnacentral:pre_miRNA from 1 species